rnacentral:rRNA from 1 species
AUACGGAGGGUGCAAGCGUUACUCGGAAUCACUGGGCGUAAAGGAUGCGUAGGCGGAUAAUCAAGUCAAAAGGGAAAUCCCACGGCUUAACCGUGGAACUGCUUUCGAAACUGGUUAUCUAGAAUAUGGAAGAGGCAGAUGGAAUUAGUGGUGUAGGGGUAAAAUCCGUAGAGAUCACUAGGAAUACCGAUUGCGAAGGCGAUCUGCUGGGACAUUAUUGACGCUGAGGCAUGAAAGCGUGGGGAGCAAACAGGAUUAGAAACCCUAGUAGUCC